rnacentral:rRNA from 1 species
GACGAACGCUGGCGGCGUGCCUAAUACAUGCAAGUCGAGCGCUGAAGGCUGGUACUUGUACCAACUGGAUGAGCAGCGAACGGGUGUGUAACGCGUGGGGAAUCUGCCUUUGAGUGGGGGACAACAUUUGGAAACGAAUGCUAAUACCGCAUAAAAACUUUAAACACAAGUUUUAAGUUUGAAAGAUGCCAUUGCAUCACUCAAAGAUGAUUUCGCGUUGUAUUAGUUAGUUGGUGAGGUAAAGGCUCACCAAGGCGUUGAUACCUAGCCGACCUGAGAGGGUGGUCGGCCACAUUGGGACUGAGACACGGCACAAACGCCUACAGGAGGCGGCAGUAGGGAAACUGCAGGAAGGGGCGAGAAACAGAGCGAGAAGGGCCGAGGGAGUGAAGAGGGUUUCCGGGUGGUGGAACACUGUUGGUAGGGAAGAAAGUGGGUGAGAGUGGAAAGCUCAGCAAGUGACGGUAACGACCCAAAAAGGAACGGCUAACUACGUG